UAUGCCCAACUAUUUAGUUUAAGUUGGUUGGGGCUGGGGGACUGUUGUCUUUGUUCCCUGUUAACAUAUUUUCUCACCUUGGUUGGGUUGCUUGGUUGCUGGGACACUCUUACGUGUAUUGGGCGGAGGGCUGCAGUUUGUCGUCACGGAGCACAGCUGGGCUUUCCGCACUCGAUGGUACAACUCAAGUGGUUCUGAUUUAAGCGGGGCUGGUUGGCAAGGGGUUUGCUCUCAGCUGUUCCGAUUGGUUGGCAAAGGUCAGAUGCCCGAAUGUUAUUUUAAUUAAUGCAGGUGGAAAUGAUUUGGGCUUGGUCUCUCAAAGAGACUUAAUUAGCG